rnacentral:rRNA from 1 species
CAGUCGAACGCCCCGCAAGGGGAGUGGCAGACGGGUGAGUAACGCGUGGGAACAUACCCUUUCCUGCGGAAUAGCUCCGGGAAACUGGAAUUAAUACCGCAUACGCCCUACGGGGGAAAGAUUUAUCGGGGAAGGAUUGGCCCGCGUUGGAUUAGCUAGUUGGUGGGGUAAAGGCCUACCAAGGCGACGAUCCAUAGCUGGUCUGAGAGGAUGAUCAGCCACAUUGGGACUGAGACACGGCCCAAACUCCUACGGGAGGCAGCAGUGGGGAAUAUUGGACAAUGGGCGCAAGCCUGAUCCAGCCAUGCCGCGUGAGUGAUGAAGGCCUUAGGGUUGUAAAGCUCUUUCACCGGAGAAGAUAAUGACGGUAUCCGGAGAAGAAGCCCCGGCUAACUUCGUGCCAGCAGCCGCGGUAAUACGAAGGGGGCUAGCGUUGUUCGGAAUUACUGGGCGUAAAGCGCACGUAGGCGGAUAUUUAAGUCAGGGGUGAAAUCCCAGAGCUCAACUCUGGAACUGCCUUUGAUACUGGGUAUCUUGAGUAUGGAAGAGGUAAGUGGAAUUCCGAGUGUAGAGGUGAAAUUCGUAGAUAUUCGGAGGAACACCAGUGGCGAAGGCGGCUUACUGGUCCAUUACUGACGCUGAGGUGCGAAAGCGUGGGGAGCAAACAGGAUUAGAUACCCUGUAGUCCACGCCGUAAACGAUGAAUGUUAGCCGUCGGGCAGUAUACUGUUCGGUGGCGCAGCUAACGCAUUAAACAUUCCGCCUGGGGAGUACGGUCGCAAGAUUAAAACUCAAAGGAAUUGACGG